rnacentral:rRNA from 1 species
UACGGGGGGGGGCAAGCGUUUGUUCGGAAUUACUGGGCGUAAAGCGCACGUAGGCGGCUUUGUAAGUUAGAGGUGAAAGCCUGGAGCUCAACUCCAGAAUUGCCUUUAAGACUGCAUCGCUUGAAUCCAGGAGAGGUGAGUGGAAUUCCGAGUGUAGAGGUGAAAUUCGUAGAUAUUCGGAAGAACACCAGUGGCGAAGGCGGCUCACUGGACUGGUAUUGACGCUGAGGUGCGAAAGCGUGGGGGAGCAAACAGG